rnacentral:rRNA from 1 species
AGAGUUUGAUCCUGGCUCAGAUUGAACGCUGGCGGCAUGCCUUACACAUGCAAGUCGAACGGUAACGCGGGGCAACCUGGCGACGAGUGGCGAACGGGUGAGUAAUAUAUCGGAACGUGCCCAGNUUGUGGGGGAUAACUGCUCGAAAGAGCAGCUAAUACCGCAUACGACCUGAGGGUGAAAGCGGGGGAUCGCAAGACCUCGCGCAAUUGGAGCGGCCGAUAUCAGAUUAGGUAGUUGGUGGGGUAAAGGCCUACCAAGCCUACGAUCUGUAGCUGGUCUGAGAGGACGACCAGCCACACUGGGACUGAGACACGGCCCAGACUCCUACGGGAGGCAGCAGUGGGGAAUUUUGGACAAUGGGGGCAACCCUGAUCCAGCCAUGCCGCGUGCGGGAAGAAGGCCUUCGGGUUGUAAACCGCUUUUGUCAGGGAAGAAAAGACUCCUACUAAUACUGGGGGUUCAUGACGGUACCUGAAGAAUAAGCACCGGCUAACUACGUGCCAGCAGCCGCGGUAAUACGUAGGGUGCAAGCGUUAAUCGGAAUUACUGGGCGUAAAGCGUGCGCAGGCGGUUAUGCAAGGACAGAUGUGAAAUCCCCGGGCUCAACCUGGGAAACUGCAUUUGUGACUGCAUGGCUAGAGUACGGUAGAGGGGGAUGGAAUUCCGCGUGUAGCAGUGAAAUGCGUAGAUAUGCGGAGGA